CUUUUUCUCCAUUUUUGUAACUUUGCCUCCCUGUACCCCAAUUUUGGGCGGAUUUCAGACACUUUUGGGUCAUUUCUCUCAGUUUUGGGUGGUUUCAGGUGCAUUUCUCAGUUCUGGGCGGAUUUCUCUCAGUUUUGGGCCAUUUUGGGUAAUUUUCAUUUAAUUUUGGAUCCAUUUCACUCCAUUUUAGGUCACUUUCACUCCAUUUUGGGUGGAUUUCACUCAGUUUUGGGCCAGCUUCGCUCAAUUUUGAGUAAUUUCAGGUGGGUUUCACUCCAUUUUGGGUGGGUUUAUCUCAAUUUUGGUUCAUUUUCUCUCAUUUUCACUCCAUUUUCUGUCACUUUCACUCCAUUCUGGGUGGGUUUCCCUCCAAUUUGGGUCAUUUUCUCUCAGUUUUGGGUGGUUUCAAGUGGGUUUGUCUCCAUUUUGUGUCACUUUCACUCCAUUUUGGGUGGGUUUCACUCAGUUUUGGUUCAUUUUCUGUCACUUUCACUCCAUUUUGGGUGGGUUUCUCUCAAUUUUGGGUGGAUUUCUCUCAAUUUCAGUUCAUUUUCUUUUACUUUUACUCCAUGUUGGGUGGGUUUCUCUCA
rnacentral:lncRNA from 1 species